rnacentral:rRNA from 1 species
CGGACACGCUGGCGGCGUGCCUAACACAUGCAAGUCGAGCGAAGUAUAUUUAAGGGAAAUUUUCGGAUGGAACUUAAAUAUAUCUUAGCGGCGGACGGGUGAGUAACGCGUGGGAACGUACCCUUUGGUUCGGAAUAACUACGGGAAACUGUAGCUAAUACCGGAUAAGCCCGUGAGGGAAAGAUUUAUCGCCAAAAGAGCAGCCCGCGUUAGAUUAGGUAGUUGGUGGGGUAAUGGCCUACCAAGCCUGCGAUCUAUAGCUGGUCUGAGAGGAUGAUCAGCCACACUGGGACUGAGACACGGCCCAGACUCCUACGGGAGGCAGCAGUGGGGAAUAUUGGACAAUGGGGGAAACCCUGAUCCAGCAAUGCCGCGUGAGUGAUGAAGGCCUUCGGGUUGUAAAGCUCUUUUGUCAGGGACGAUGAUGACGGUACCUGACGAAUAAGCUCCGGCUAACUUCGUG